rnacentral:rRNA from 1 species
AGCAUAUCAAUAAGCGGAGGAAAAGAAACCAACAGGGAUUGCCUCAGUAACGGCGAGUGAAGCGGCAACAGCUCAAAUUUGAAAUCUGGCUUCGGUCCGAGUUGUAAUUUGUAGAGGAUGCUUCGGCUUACGUACCGGUCUAAGUUCCUUGGAACAGGACGUCACAGAGGGUGAGAAUCCCGUUUGUGGCCGGCACUUCCGCCAUGUGAAGCUCCUUCGACGAGUCGAGUUGUUUGGGAAUGCAGCUCUAAAUGGGAGGUAAAUUUCUUCUAAAGCUAAAUACCGGCCAGAGACCGAUAGCGCACAAGUAGAGUGAUCGAAAGAUGAAAAGCACUUUGGAAAGAGAGUUAAAAAGUACGUGAAAUUGUUGAAAGGGAAGCGCUUGCGACCAGACUUGCCCGCGGAUGCUCAACCGGUCCUUCGGCCGGUGCACUCUUCCGCGGUCAGGCCAGCAUCAGUUCGGGCGGUCGGAUAAAGGCCUUGGGAAUGUGGCUCUCUUCGGGGAGUGUUAUAGCCCUUGGUGCAAUACGGCCCGCCUGGACUGAGGCCCGCGCUUCGGCUAGGAUGCUGGCGUAAUGGUCGUAAGCGGCCCGUCUUGAAACACGGACCAAGGAGUCUAACAUCUAUGCGAGUGUUUGGGUGUCAAACCCGUGCGCGAAAUGAAAGUGAACGGAGGUGGGAACCUUAGGGUGCACCAUCGACCGAUCCUGAUGUCUUCGGAUGGAUUUGAGUAAGAGCAUAGCUGUUGGGACCCGAAAGAUGGUGAACUAUGCCUGAAUAGGGUGAAGCCAGAGGAAACUCUGGUGGAGGCUCGCAGCGGUUCUGACGUGCAAAUCGAUCGUCAAAUUUGGGUAUAGGGGCGAAAGACUAAUC